AGCAGUCGCCACGGUAAUACGAAGGGGGCUAGCGUUGUUUGGAAUUACUGGGCGUAAAGCGCGUGUAGGCGGGUCUUUAAGUCAGGGGUGAAAUGCCAAGGCUCAACCUUGGAACUGCCUUUGAUACUGGAGAUCUUGAGUCCGGGAGAGGUGAGUGGAAUUGCGAGUGUAGAGGUGAAAUUCGUAGAUAUUCGCAAGAACACCAGUGGCGAAGGCGGCUCACUGGCCCGGAACUGACGCUGAGACGCGAAAGCGUGGGGAGCAAACAGGAUUAGAUACCCCUGUAGUCCCUGUCUCUUAUAC
rnacentral:rRNA from 1 species